CGCAUGUAACUUUAGAGACGGUCCCUAGAUUUGCGAAUAUCGAACGUCCAACGUCAAGCCAACUUUAUGCCAGCCCCACACGCACGUCUUGGAUUUCUUGGGUUGGUUACCGUAUUUAAAUUACGAACAGAAACAAAGCGCCGAAGAACUUUCCUCCUGGACCAUGGUCGUUUGCCGAUAUAGGAGACAUUCAUCACAUCGACAUAGUAGGAUUCAUCUUCAGUUCUCAGAGUUUGCAGAAAAAUAUGGCAAGAUUUUCAGCCUUAGAAUUCUUGGACCAAGAAUUGUUGUGUUGGAUGGAUAUAAACUCGUGAAGGAGGUGUAUUUACAACAAGGGGACAACCUCGCUGAUCGACCCUUGUUACCUUUA